rnacentral:rRNA from 1 species
GGGAAGAGCAAGAGGAGUGUCGCGGAGGAGGAGAGGUUAGGGAUUGGGAUUGGGAUUCCGCUGCCGCGGCAGCGGGCGCCGGAGAGGGGAAGUGGCUGCCGCGGUAGAGCAGGCUCAGGCUCGACCUCCUCGUUCACAUGCAGCCCCUGCGUCGUUCCGGUCGUGCGGUAGCCAGGGCGGAAGGGACCAAGGAGCGGCUCGCGGUGCUUCUCCUUCUCUCUUACCACUUCCUCUUCCCCUUACUCUUCCCUUUCCCACGACCAUUCCUCUUACCCUUCCGCUUCCCACGACCAUUCCUCUUACCCUUCCGCUUCCGUUUCCUUUUCUCGAACUUAAUGGAUUAAUCCGUUCUAAGCGGCGACGGAGACGGUCAAGGCUCCUUCUUCUCGUUUGGAUUCCACGUCUAAUCCUUCCUCUUUCUGAAAGGGUUACGGGGUUACCCUCUCAACUAAACAUCGAAUUUUUUUGUGGGAGGUGGAGGAGGCGCAGAGGGACUGGCGUGGCCACGGCCGCACGCACGGCGCCUUCGGCGACGGAGGCCGAGGCGUUGGCCGAGGCUCGACGGAGUACGUAGAUGAUAACAUACUAACGAAAUGAACUAUGUAGAAGAUGGGUAUGUAACAACCGCAGUUCGAACGUUAGUUUGUACGUUACUGAUCACUAUCACUGGUGAUGUUCCUUUACCCACUUCGUUACAACCUCUUCAAACUGUUUAUAACCCUUCUUUUCUUGUUACGGUACCACUAGCGUUGGUAGAAACUAGGUGCCAUGUUCUACCCAAUGUAUCUCACCCGGAAACCUCUUGAUAUACCUCUUCCUUCAUGCUCCAAAUCCUGACUCUAGUUUUAGCACCUCUUUCUCAACCGCCGGAACAUACUGUUUACACAACGAGUUCUAUUCGCUCGACCUUUACCUCUUUCAAGUAGAAGGAGACGUUUGUAAGGAUCAUAGGGCCAAGUUCUACCCAUGCUCAGGAAGAAUAGCAGGGCAAGUUGUUCUUAUAGUUUCCCACUCAACUCCUUGAUGAAUCUCCUACUCCAACGGGGAGCGUUGUUCCGAGAACUAGAAGAACCAACCACCUUUCUGUUACGAGGAUCCAUGGGUUAAUACCGGUUCUAUCGGUCCUCCAAGGAAUGAUAGGGCCGAUGGAGGCACAGAAGCCUUAGAUGGAAGUCGUGCUGGCCUUCCUAAAAUCUACUGAUAUCCUCAAGCAAUUUUGGCCAAUACCACCUCCGUAAUCAAACACCACGUUCAAUAUAGUUCCCACGAGUGCAACUGAACUUAGACCACGGCUCCCUACUCUUACUUCUCCUUCUACAACUCUUGUAGUUCAAUGGGUAACACCACCUCCUCUAGUUGCUAACUGCAAAUAGUACACCUACAACUAGCGAUAAAACCUCUACUUACAGUUUCACUAGAAAGAGUACACUUCCGAUGAAAACGUAAAGACAAAACAACCUUGGAAAGUUCAGUACUUGAUACUUAACAGUGACGAUCGAACCUCUACUUGGAGAGUAAACACAAUACAAGUUGAACAGUUAACUGUACCUGAACCUUAACAGUAACGUUCAAACAUUAGCACAGCAAGAUACUACUAUUCUGGAAUACGAACACCUACACUAUAAACACGAAUUGGACUAAACAC